rnacentral:rRNA from 1 species
GGCUCACCAAGGCGACGAUCCCUAGCUGGUCUGAGAGGAUGAUCAGCCACACUGGAACUGAGACACGGUCCAGACUCCUACGGGAGGCAGCAGUGGGGAAUAUUGCACAAUGGGCGCAAGCCUGAUGCAGCCAUGCCGCGUGUGUGAAGAAGGCCUUCGGGUUGUAAAGCACUUUCAGUCGUGAGGAAGGUAGUGUAGUUAAUAGCUGCAUUAUUUGACGUUAGCGACAGAAGAAGCACCGGCUAACUCCGUGCCAGCAGCCGCGGUAAUACGGAGGGUGCGAGCGUUAAUCGGAAUUACUGGGCGUAAAGCGCAUGCAGGUGGUUUGUUAAGUCAGAUGUGAAAGCCCGGGGCUCAACCUCGGAAUAGCAUUUGAAACUGGCAGACUAGAGUACUGUAGAGGGGGGUAGAAUUUCAGGUGUAGCGGUGAAAUGCGUAGAGAUCUGAAGGAAUACCGGUGGCGAAGGCGGCCCCCUGGACAGAUACUGACACUCAGAUGCGAAAGCGUGGGGAGCAAACAGGAUUAGAUACCCUGGUAGUCCACGCCGUAAACGAUGUCUACUUGGAGGUUGUGGCCUUGAGCCGUGGCUUUCGGAGCUAACGCGUUAAGUAGACCGCCUGGGGAGUACGGUCGCAAGAUUAAAACUCAAAUGAAUUGACGGGGGCCCGCACAAGCGGUGGAGCAUGUGGUUUAAUUCGAUGCAACGCGAAGAACCUUACCUACUCUUGACAUCCAGAGAACUUUCCAGAGAUGGAUUGGUGCCUUCGGGAACUCUGAGACAGGU